UACGUAGGGAGCGAGCGUUGUCCGGAAUCAUUGGGCGUAAAGAGCAUGUAGGUGGAUCAAUAAGUCUGCUGUGAAAGUCGAAGGCUCAACCUUCGAAAGCCGGUGGAUACUGUUGAUCUAGAGUACGGAAGAGGCGAGUGGAAUUCCUGGUGUAGCGGUGGAAUGCGCAGAUAUCAGGAGGAACACCAAUAGCGAAGGCAGCUCGCUGGGACGUUACUGACACUGAGAUGCGAAAGCGUGGGGAGCAAAC
rnacentral:rRNA from 1 species